UAUGAGGCUGAAAAGCUGUUGAAAACUUUAAAAGAACACUUUUCACAACAACAACACCAGACAUCUGAAAAUGAUAAUGAUGCAGCCACCGCGGAUGCGCACACUACAACGUUUGUGACCGAGCGCCGGGGAAAAGGCCGCACUGCUAAGAGAAAGCUCAGUGGCUCCACAUCUGUCACUGCUCAGUAUGAAGAAAAGCCGGCACAAGAGGAGGGCCGAAGGGGCUCCAAGAGGAGGAAGGCGUCCUCACCCAAGGACACAGAGACACCAGUUCCA